rnacentral:lncRNA from 1 species
UUAUGUUAUGUUUUUUUGUACUUUUGGUUUUCUUUGUGUAUUUUUUGUUUUUUUUGUGGGUUUAUUCAGUUUUUAUUUUCUUUUGGUUUGAUGUAAUCACCUAUUAUGGGUUGUCUUAAUCUAAUGAAUUUGAUUUUGUUUACCUCCAGUUUCCUGUUUAUUUCGUUAGAUAUGUGACUAUGUUUGGCUAUUGGUUAUCUUGAUCACGUACACCAAAUACUUGGGCGUCCUCUCUUUCAGUCCCCUGACUGUAGAUACUGUUGUUUAUGAUUGGACGCACUGGUUAAG